rnacentral:siRNA from 1 species
UCUGGUACCGCUGUUCAUCCAC